rnacentral:tRNA from 1 species
ACCAAAAUAGCUCAGUUGGGAGAGCGUUAGACUAUAGAUCGAAAAGUCCCUGGUUCGAUCCCGGGUUUCGGCA